CUAUUCUUAUAUAUGUUUCGAAGAGGAGCGCGUGCGAUCUAUUUUGCCCUAGAUCCAGGUUAUAGAGACAUCUUUCAAUCUGUUUUUUGUUAUGAUCAAUGUUAGACGCUGCUUUCCUCAUCAUUGACUCGUGCUUUUUCGGAUGAUGUAGACCCAGUCGAAAGAAGUCCUGUCUUGGACGGCGAUCAUCAAUCGUCAUAGCUGUUUUCUUUCGGCCGAUGGAUUGCUGUGUUUGUUUGAACGCACAAUCAGUUGCGGUGGUAUAUGCGAAUACAAUUCAGCCGAUCAUUGGAAGCGAUUCAAUGAAUUAUGGGACUGGUCCACGCCUUCAUCAAUGAAUACCAUAUUCCCAAUGAGAAGUAAGAAUUGAAGCUGAUUUGAAGGAUAAAUGUGACAAGUUUUGGAAGAUGAUGCUGGACUUGUGUGGAUCUUUAAUUAGAUAUUGUUGUUGCACGGUGUUCUAGAUGAUCUUUUGUGUCCCUUGACCUUUGCCAUGUCAGGUGCGCUUGCUUGGCAGGUCAAUAUAUAAUAAAGAUAUAUUUUUUUGUUGGGGGGAGAUCGCAUGGGGAUCGCCUGGGGUCUCUGCCUUCACCGUGUGUGCGUUUCCUUCAGACCUUUGCCAUGUCGGGUGCGCUUGCUUGGCAGGUCAAUGAUAUAAUAAAGGUGUCUUUUUUUUGUGGGGGGAGAUCGCAUGGGGAUUGCCCAGGGUCUCUGCCUUCACCGUGUGUGUGUGUGUUUGCUUCUGCCUUUCUUCCUUAUCCAUCUCAUCUUCCUGCCCUGCUAACAUUCACUAGCACCCUGCAAAUCUGAUCAACAUUCACUAGCACCCUGCAAAUCUGAUCAACAUUCACUAGCACCAUCGGCAUGCAAUUCACUCUCCAAUUGCCCACAGUUAAGAUAAAAUUUUGCAUCAACAUAUUUAAGUAGCAUACAUUAAUGCCAUCAGGCUUUAAUAACUCCAUUUGCCAUCAGGCUUCAAUAACUCCAUCUGUCAUCAGGCUUCAAUAUCUGGAAGGUAUUAGCAUUGUACGAUUCUAAAUCAAACACAUUAACGCAUUAAUAUCUCUUAUAACAAAAAUUGUAUAUUAACAAGUCUGCUCUUCUAAAUCAAGAUUUCUGUGUUGGAAUAGGACUACCUCCAAUUGGUUCCAUUGGUGGUACAUAAACCUCUCAAAAACUUCUUUCUGUUAUGAUUUGUAAACUUGUCAAUCAUUUUACAAGUUGUAAAUAUACAAGCUUAAAAAGAGUUUCUUUAAUAAGAAUACCUACUUGUCUAAUUAGAAAUUGUUAUAUAUAUUUUUCUUACUAGCUUGUUAAUGUUAUUGUUUUUGUUUAUAUUAGACACCAAUGGUUUUAUUUGAAGGGUUUGAUAAUGAAUUUAUACCAUUGAGGCAGAGUUUAGAUGCUAUAGUUGGAAUUGUUUGAUUAUGAUAUUAUGUACUACUAGAGGAAGAGUAGCACCUGGAAGUUGAUACAGUUGAAGAUGAAGAUUUCUGAUAUUGUGUUCUGUGAUACUGUAAUGUUUUGAAUUCAAACGUGAAGCUAAUUUUGGAGGUUACAGAUGCACAUUUCAUCACAUAUUGUCUUGGCAAGUUUUAAUAUCCUUUUGUUGUCAAUGACAAACAUAUUAUCUCUUUAUAUGAAAAGUUCAAAAAUCUUAUAUCUGAAGAGAUACUUUUAAUUUUAUUGUGUUGUUGGUCACAUUUGAUGCUAACUAUUUGCUUUUGUAAAGCCAAGCAUCAACCAAGUAGCUAUACAACAAGACUGUUAUCUCAAGAAUAAGACUUGCACUUGAGAUGGUACUCCUUGUUUUGUCAAUUUUAACUAAAUGCCUAGAUGUCUUUUUGGUAGAAGUCAAUACUGCUUAACUGAAUACUCAAUUUAGUGACCAAUCAAUUUCAUACUGAUUCUUCCCCAAUCCUAAAUACUAUUUGGAUUAUUAUAGCUGGUAUUUUGGUAUACUUUCAGCUGUGAACUGAUUUCCUAUCUAUAUGUUAAUUGUUUCUUACUAUUAAUAUUAUCUUGCAUUAUUUACUCCUUGAUUCGAGUAACGGAACUAGGCAUUCUGAAUCUCCAGUGGUUGUUGAAUUAGAAGUCUAAACAUGUCAUUUUUACUGUUAUUUAACAUCUUGGUUACUAGAUUCUCCAUGGUCAUCAGCUAGAGCUGAGUCUAAGGGUUCUUUAUCAAUGUUGUGGAUGCAUGUAUCCUCUUUCUCAUUUACUAUUUGUAACUGUUAUAGGAGCCUUCUUGAAUGUUAUUGCUAGAGUGAAGAGGAGAUUUGAUUGUGGCUCAGGCCAUCUUUUGGUUUACUUGAUUCUUCCUGCACUAUGAGAUGUAGUAUUAUGCCAGGUAAAAUCGAGUGGAUAACUAUUGAACUCUUAGGAAAUGUCUUAUAUUAUUUAAAGUUUGAUGUAUGAAGUAUAACAACCAUAAAUCCUAGAGUUUUAUGAUAACUAAUGAUCUCACUGCUAUCCUAAGAUUCAAGUUUGGAUCUUCACCCUCUUUAUAUCUUGGUCUCUCGCUAGGACCUCGUUGGUUAGGAGCAAGGAUAUUUGGAACCUAUUCUAGCAAAGGUAAAUUGGAUAUGCAAGGUAAAUUCAAUGUCAAAUGGGGGCAAUAUGGCUGUGAUGAUUAAAAACUUGUUUACCUUUCUUCCAACCUUUAAGCUCUCUUGAUUUUGCAUUCCCAUUAGAAAUCUUUUGUGGGUCUUCAUCAUCUGGUAAAUUACCAAUGACGGGCAUCAAAAUCAAGGAUAUAAUGGGUGCCUGAGCAGCCUUUACACUAUAAAUGAUAGUCAUAUGGGAUAAGGUUUAUGGAAAGAGUCUGAGAUUCUAUGUAUGAUGUUCCUGCUGGAAUGGAAGUAUGCAAGAUGAAGCCCAUUUGCUCAACUGAUGCAUCACCCCACGUAAGUUCGUCUCUUCCUUCAUCAUUCGAGUGAAAGAUUAUUAAUCUAAUCAACUCAAUGUAAUGAAAAAUGAGAUAAUUGGUAAUAACUUAAUAUGAUUAGUAGAAGGCACUGUUGUUGAAAUUUGUAGUUUUACUUGAUUUGUGUAAAUAUUAUUAUAAAACUAGCUAAUAAUGAUUUAAAUAAUAGUUUAAGCAAAUUAUUGAUAGAUCCGUAAGCUCCAAUUGGCAAGAGCACUCAGAUAUAUGAGAGGU